UGGCUCAGUGGUUAAGAGCACUGGCUGCUCCUCCAGAGGACCUGGGUUCAAUUCCUAG
rnacentral:tRNA from 1 species